rnacentral:lncRNA from 1 species
AGGGGUUGACGUUAUCGUUAGGGACGUCUCCGGCUGUUCGUGCGUGGUGACACGAGUUGGCCGACGGGAGUUGAAAGAGUUUGUCGACGCCGCCUGAUCAGAUUUGCAUGAGAUCAAAUCUACCAGUUUGGAAGCUUCGAGGAGCCUGAGGUCGGUGCGAUCAAGAGCUUGGAGAAGAUCCAAGUUGUCGACCUUUUUUUGCCCUGUAAUGAGGGAGUGGAGGUCGGGUGCUUGGAGUCGGCGUGAUUGGAGUUGACGCCUCUACUGUCCC